rnacentral:piRNA from 2 species
UGAAGAUGUAAGAAUAAAGCUUUGCCG